rnacentral:tRNA from 1 species
GCGCUCGUAGCUCAGUUGGAUAGAGCGUCUGGCUACGAACCAGAAGGUCGGGAGUUCGAAUCUCUCCGGGCGCGCCA